UACGGGGGGUGCAAGCGUUAUCCGGAUUUACUGGGUUUAAAGGGUGCGUAGGCGGACAGGUAAGUCCGUGGUGAAAUCUCUGAGCUUAACUCAGAAACUGCCAUGGAUACUAUUUGUCUUGAAUCUUCCGGAGGUCAGCGGAAUAUGUCAUGUAGCGGUGAAAUGCUUAGAUAUGACAUAGAACACCAAUUGCGAAGGCAGCUGACUACAGGGGCAUUGACACUGAGGCACGAAAGCGUGGGGAUCAAACAGG
rnacentral:rRNA from 1 species